AAUUCUAUAGUCAAUAAUGAUAUUAAAUUGCAAAUUUAAAGGUAAGUUAAAUUUUAGGAUUU
rnacentral:tRNA from 1 species